rnacentral:rRNA from 1 species
UACGGAGGGUGCAAGCAUUAAUCGGAUUUAUUGGGCGUAAAGGGCGCGUAGGCGGGUUUGUAAGUCAGAUGUGAAAUUCCGAAGCUCAACUUCGGAGCUGCAUUUGAAACUGCAAGUCUUGAGGAUUGGCGGAGAAAAUGGAAUUCCACGUGUAGCGGUGAAAUGCGUAGAUAUGUGGAAGAACACCAGUGGCGAAAGCGGUUUUCUAGCUUAUUCCUGACGCUGAGGCGCGAGAGCAAGGGGAGCAAAC